rnacentral:rRNA from 1 species
UCUUGCGCAAUGGGCGAAAGCCUGACGCAGCAACGCCGCGUGCGGGAUGAAGGCCUUCGGGCUGUAAACCGCUUUCAGCAGGAACGAAAAUGACGGUACCUGCAGAAGAAGGAGCAGCCAACUACGUGCCAGCAGCCGCGGUGACACGUAGGCUCCAAGCGUUGUCCGGAUUUAUUGGGCGUAAAGAGCUCGUAGGCGGUUUAGUAAGUCGGGUGUUAAAACUCUGGGCUCAACCCGGAGAGGCCAUCCGAUACUGCUGUGACUUGAGUUCAGGAGGGGAGCGGGGAAUUCCUAGUGUAGCGGUGAAAUGCGCAGAUAUUAGGAGGAACACCGGUGACGAAGGCGCCGCUCUGGACUGAAACUGACGCUGAGAGCGAA